rnacentral:rRNA from 1 species
UACGGGGGGGGCAAGCGUUGUUCGGAAUUACUGGGCGUAAAGGGCGCGUAGGCGGCCCUCUAAGUCAGACGUGAAAUCCCACGGCUUAACCGUGGAACUGCGUCUGAUACUGGAGGGCUUGAAUCCGGGAGAGGGAUGUGGAAUUCCAGGUGUAGCGGUGAAAUGCGUAGAUACCUUGAAGAACUCCGAUUGCGAAGGCAGCCCACUGGACUUCUACCGACGCUGAGGCACGAAAGCGUGGGGAUCAAACAGG